rnacentral:lncRNA from 1 species
AAGACAUUAAAGGAUUAGAGCAUAACUAAUGCACUGCAGGAUUACAGACAAACGGGGGUAGAGACAGAGCUGGAGGUAAACAGAGACAGAAAAGGACUCAGAGAGAGCUAGAUAAAAGGCCUGCAGGUAAAGAGAGAGAAUCACAGCAAAUGAGCAAGUGAUUCAAAUCCAAUAGAAAUUAAAGAUUUAAAGGCUCCAGCGCACUGCUUCCUCCAUGACACACUCAGGUGAAGACACGCUCACAGCGAUGAAUAUAGAGAGGAUUAUCGAGUGUAUAUCGAGUGUAUCAGAGAGGAUGACCAGAAAGGACUGAAGGCAGAACUACAGCAAUUUAAUCGAGAGUAUGCACAGUGUUUCUUCUAUGAUUUGGAGGAGAGGGAGAGAA